rnacentral:rRNA from 1 species
UCAGUAACGGCGAGUGAAGCGGUAACAGCUCAAAUUUGAAAUCUGGCUCUUUCAGGGUCCGAGUUGUAAUUUGUAGAAGAUGCUUUGGGUGUGGCACCGGUCUAAGUUCCUUGGAACAGGACGUCAUAGAGGGUGAGAAUCCCGUAUGUGACUGGUUGCUUUCGCCCGUGUAAAGCUCUUUCGACGAGUCGAGUUGUUUGGGAAUGCAGCUCAAAAUGGGUGGUAAAUUUCAUCUAAAGCUAAAUAUUGGCCAGAGACCGAUAGCGCACAAGUAGAGUGAUCGAAAGAUGAAAAGCACUUUGGAAAGAGAGUUAAACAGUACGUGAAAUUGUUGAAAGGGAAGCGCUUGCAACCAGACUCGCAUUCCGUCGAUCAUCCGGAGUUCUCUCCGGUGCACUCGGCGGUAUUCGGGCCAGCAUCGGUUUGGGUGGUGGGAUAAAGGCCUUGGGAAUGUAGCUCCUUUCGGGGAGUGUUAUAGCCCUCGGUGCAAUGCCGCCUACCUGGACCGAGGACCGCGCUUCGGCUAGGAUGCUGGCGUAAUGGUUGUAAGCGACCCGUCUUGAAACACGGACCAAGGAGUCUAACAUCUAUGCGAGUAUUUGGGUGUUAAACCCAUAUGCGUAAUGAAAGUGAACGGAGGUGAGAACCCUUAAGGGUGCAUCAUCGACCGAUCCUGAUGUCUUCGGAUGGAUUUGAGUAAGAGCAUAGCUGUUGGGACCCGAAAGAUGGUGAACUAUGCCUAAAUAGGGUGAAGCCAGAGGAAACUCUGGUGGAGGCUCGCAGCGGUUCUGACGUGCAAAUCGAUCGUCAAAUUUGGGUAUAGGGGCGAAAGACUAAUCGAACCAUCUAGUAGCUGGUUCCUGC